rnacentral:rRNA from 1 species
CCUACGGGCGGCAGCAGUGAGGAAUAUUGGUCAAUGGACGAGAGUCUGAACCAGCCAAGUAGCGUGAGGGAAGACGGCCCUACGGGUUGUAAACCUCUUUUGUCAGGGAGCAAGGUGCAGGUCGGGACCUGCUGUGAGAGUACCUGAAGAAAAAGCAUCGGCUAACUCCGUGCCAGCAGCCGCGGUAAUACGGAGGAUCCGAGCGUUAUCCGGAUUUAUUGGGUUUAAAGGGUGCGUAGGCGGCCUUUUAAGUCAGCGGUGAAAGUCUGUGGCUCAACCAUAGAAUUGCCGUUGAAACUGGGAGGCUUGAGUAUGUUUGAGGCAGGCGGAAUGCGUGGUGUAGCGGUGAAAUGCUUAGAUAUCACGCAGAACCCCGAUUGCGAAGGCAGCCUGCCAAGCCAUGACUGACGCUGAUGCACGAAAGCGUGGGGAUCAAACAGGAUUAGAUACCCCUGUAGUC